GACGAACGCUGGCGGCGUGCCUAAUACAUGCAAGUUGAGCGCUGAAGGUUGGUACUUGUCCCAACUGGAUGAGCAGCGAACGGGUGAGUAACGCGUGGGGAAUCUGCCUUUGAGCGGGGGACAACAUUUGGAAACGAAUGCUAAUACCGCAUAAAAACUUUAAACACAAGUUUUAAGUUUGAAAGAUGCAAUUGCAUCACUCAAAGAUGAUCCCGCGUUGUAUUAGCUAGUUGGUGAGGUAAAGGCUCACCAAGGCGAUGAUACAUAGCCGACCUGAGAGGGUGAUCGGCCACAUUGGCACUGAGACACGGCCCAGACUCCUACGGGAGGCAGCAGUAGGGAAUCUUCGGCAAUGGACGAAAGUCUGACCGAGCAACGCCGCGUGAGUGAAGAAGGUUUUCGGAUCGUAAAACUCUGUUGGUAGAGAAGAACGUGGGUGAGAGUGGAAAGCUCAUCAAGUGACGGUAACUACCCAGAAGGGACGGCUAACUACGUG
rnacentral:rRNA from 1 species